GACAUUUCCUGUUGGGGGGAAGGAGGCAAAAGAACAAAGAUGUUACUCUCCUUUGAUUUGGCUGACAAUUCAAAGACUCUUCAUUCUCAUAGGAGAAUAUAAGAAUUCAUGAACAAGAUUCCCAGAAUUCAGAGGUCGAUUCUCAAGCUGAAGAGUCUGUGGUUUCAUUGCCGCAUGAACAGGACGGAGUCUCGGUCUAUAGCCCGGGCUGGAGUACAAUGGCACAAUCUCAGCUCACUGCAACCUCUGCCUCCUGGGUUCAAGUGAUUCUCCUGCCUCAGGCUCCCGAGUAGCUGGGAUUACAGGUCAGAAAAAGGUGCACAGCAGGAUGUGAAGAUCUCUCUGCUCUGAGCACGGGCUGGUUCUUUCCAUGUCAGGGAACUUCUCAAAUGAGAAGAGAUGGAAGAAGAGAUUUUUGAGGGAGGAGAGAGAAAGUCACUUUACACCAGGGAAGAGGAAGAGAGGAGACUCAGAAUGCAAGCAAACACUGCUGUUCUUCUUCCGCUUCGUUAACACGAAUUACUGCCAACAAUCUGCUGCAUUCACAUCUUGCUGGGUAUUUAAAAAUCCAUCCCAAAUUUGCCUCAUUUCUGUCACUCUUCUUGGUGUGCUUGUAGAUGAAUGGUUAUAGAAGUUUAUUUGUAAAAAUGGUAAAUACUACUUCUCUAUUAAGAUCAAAUUUUUUCUCGAGUCAACACAACUAAUUAUUAUGAAAAUAAAUAUAAUUAUUGUACUGUUGAAAUACUUAAUAUAAUUAUAUGUUGUGUGGCGUCUCAGGCUACUUGCCCCUGACUGUCUCACCCACCCCUUGCUAACCUGGCUGCCUUUUUCUGUGGGACAAAUUCCUCCUUAGCUUCCUGAAUAUUUCUCUAUGUCAGACUUAUUUUAUCUUAUUUUUCCAGAUUAGAGGUUUUUGGUGGUUGGGGGAAGAAGUGCUGCAGAUAUACAUGGCUUAGCUUUUCUCUACAGUAUGAUUUUUAAAAGUAAUGUUCAUCUAACUAAAAAGCAAAUGUUUUUCUCAUCAUUGUCAAUUGGUUUUCAAAUACUGUCCCUCUCUCUAGAUACUAUCUCCCACCCCUCCAGCCACAUCAAAAGUCUCACUAUAGGAGUAUUGGGACUAUGGCUGAAAUUUUACUGUCAAGCGAACUUUUACUGCUUUUCCAAAGUUCUAUCCAAAUACCAUCUCCUUUGUGAAGUGUUCUUUGCUUCUCUUGAGCAAUUAAUCACUUGAAUCAUUUCCUUCUCUGUGUUCCCAUAGCACAAAGGACAUAUCUCUACUAUGCGUAGUGUAUCUUUUUGCAUAUCCGUCUCCCCAACAUUGGCUGUGACGUGAAUAAAUGUUUUAAGCACUUUUAUUUUUAUUUUUGUAGACAUGGAGCUUUGCUAUGUUACCCAAGCUGAUCUCAAACUCCUGGUCUUAAGCGAUUCUCCCAUGUUGGCCUCCCAAAGUGUUGGGAUUACAGGCAUGAGUCACCACACCAAGCCACACCAGUUUUAAGCACUUUUAAUACAUAAGGACAACUUGCCCUCUAGUUGAGUACCUUUUCUCCUCCACUCCAACAAACAUUGGAUAGUAUAAUUCUAAAACUCUUUGCUAACAACUUACAUCUCUUUGAUUACUUUUGAGAUGAAACAUUAAACAGUAUGAUUUGUAUAGUAACGACUGUUUGUGUUUUAAACUGACCAUGUUUUGAGGUCAGUUCAAUUCUAUUAUUAUGAUGUGGCUCAUCUCCCCCCAACCUAUUACUCCUUCCUAUUUGGCGCUCUGGGGAUUAUAUGGUAGUGUACUUAUCUUGCAAAAUAUUGCACUGUGGUAAUAUGAUUAAGUUAUUUCAUCAGAAUAUAGUAUUAAAGCUAUAAUAUGUUCCUGGAAAA